rnacentral:lncRNA from 1 species
GGAGAUACUGUGAGUAUUUUUUCACCCCUCAGAAUUUGGGUGGACACAGUAACGGUGAACUAAACUCAAUUCUCAGUUUGUGCUUAUAAAUUUUCUCUGUGUUUUAGAAACUCUCAAGAUGGGGCUUUCAGAUCUUAAAAUCACAGUUAAAUCCAUAUUAACUUCAUCACAAAAACCGCUUACUCCUCGUGAACUACUCAGAGAUUUUAAAGAGAUAGAAGGAUAUGACUUUCCGUAUCAGAAACUUGGCUUCUCUGAUUUUUUACAAUGUCUGCAAAGCCAAGAUAUGUCAGAUGCAGUCAAGGUCCAAUAUCAAGGAGGCGUCCAAGUUCUUGUGCCAGUUCUCUCUGAGAAGUCGAAACACAUCGAUGAAUAGUCAUGAAACAAAGAAGUAAACAAACAAGAAUUGGAUCGAAAAGACCCUCGAUGUCAAGGAGGUUCGGAGGGCCUCCUCGAGCUAGGCCCCCUCGAUUAUCUACUCGUCCUCCAAGAUUUGAUUCGAAGCCGUUUUCAUCUUCCUCCAAUUAUCAGUCAAGUUCUUAUGGGCCAUCAUCCUACUCCAGCUCCAGUGCAUACAGUCGACCAGCAGCAGCACCCUCUUCUUCAGUUUACUCAUCAAACAAGGCGUAUUCUAGCUCAACAGUGCGUUCUACUUAUUCAUCAGGAAAUUCUGGUUCUCUAACUUCAUCAUAUCAGUCUGGUCAAAGGCCUCAGCCUGCUGGGAGACCUCUUCCUGAAGAGAGAGCUUUUUCAAAAGGAUCUACUAGUCAAUCUUCAACCUUAAAUUCCACAGGAAAAUCGGAGUUUUUCUCAAAUUCUACCAGGCAUUCUCCCUCAGCUCCUUCUUUUCUCAAAGAAAAAGUUGUUGAAUUUAUGAAAACAAGACAACAGGGUGUCAGAGAAGAUGACUUCUACAAUUACUUGUUGACGAGGAGUUUUAGAGAGUGUGGAAUCAAGACUGUACCAGAUCUGUUGAACUCCUGUUCAGAUAUAAUCGUACAAAGAAAUGGAUUAUACUACAUGAAACAAGCCAGUAAUGGUUCUAGUCAAUCAACCAGCAGCACCAAGCAGCCAUCUCCUGUCCCAGGAGGCUAUGAGGAUGAAGCUUUUGAGGACGACGAUGAUGAGUUCGAAUUCUAUUCAGAAGAAGACCAAGACACCGGUCAGUUCAACGGAGAUGUGGCAUGUUCAAAAGUUCCAUCAACUUCAAGUUGUAGUAACGGUCUGAAAAACCAUAUCAACUUUCAGAAUUGCAAAUCGCAAAUUAGUGCUGACAGUUGUGGAUCUGACUCAGGCUGUUAUGAUGCUGCAAAUGAAAAAUGGGCAAUAGAAUGA